AUCUCGAAUUAAUCUCAGAGCCACGCGAAUCUUUUGUCUCCUGUUUUUCUGUAUUCGUACCUGGCAUAUGUCCUUCGGGAAAAAAAAAAAAAGAAAAAAAAGAAGCUGCAGAAGUCAGAAAUAGAAUACACCAUUCCUGGUCAUACAUACCUAAGCAUUGUUGCGUCUCGUUGAAGCUGCUUCAUUUGUUCGAUUUUAAGGUGGGAGAAAUCUUUAAAGAAAAUUGAGGACUUUUACUGGGAUCUCACUUUUCGUUGAUCAGUUAGGAGUAUUAUUACGUUGCAGCACUUGAAUAACUUAGUUGUUGGGAUUGAGUAGAAACUAGAAAGUGCGUUUUUCAUUUGGCAGAACAUAAUCGACCAUCCGCGAAAAGAGAUGGGCUUUUUGAUGUGCAAGGAGGAUAAUGGAUUGGGGUGUCUGAUGAAGAAUUCGGCUUCCGUAGAGUUGGAUUCAUACUUCCCUGUGAGGCAUCAACGCCAGGAAGAUGUUCCCAAGACCCGCUUCAAACCCAGGGUGGGUAAAACUCUAAGUCCAAGAAGAUGGAAUGCUGCUUUCAGUCAAGAUGGUCAGUUGGAUAUAGCAGGAGUUCUUAGAAGAAUUCAGAGAGGGGUGAGUUCUCCACACCCCCCCCCCCCUUUUUUUUUGGUUUUAAGUGCUGUCCAAAAAGCUUGUUUAUCAGAUAGUAUUCAGGCAGCUUGGUCUGCCUAGAAUAUGAAAUAUGUAUAAGAAACUUGCAAAAUUGCAUUCAAUUGUUGCCUGGUCUUGGGUGGUAGACGAAGUGUACCUAAAGCAUGCGACGUUGGUGGCAGGGCACCUUCUAAGCUCUGCAAAAGUUUUAUUUUUCGCAUUUGAUCUGCGGUACUAAAGUUGUUGUGUUGAAAGCUACAUUUCUAACUUUAGCCUCGAAUAUUAUUUGUUUCCAAUUUGACUUUAGUGCCGAAGAGUAAGAAUGCAUUUGCAUUGGGAAGUUUAUUUUAAUCACAGGAUGCACUCUUUUGCAUUAAAUCUUUACUUAUGCUGUUUGUUCAAGAGUUUAAAUAAGAGUGAUAUUCAAUUCGAUCUGUUAAAUGUAUAUGCUUCCUUAGCUCAUGGAAUAUUGGCAGUAUUCUGCUUAUUUGAUUGCAUUGCAAAAAUGGUAGGGCAUUCAUCCAUCAAUUAAAGGUGCUGUCUGGGAAUUUCUGUUGGGUUGUUAUGAUCCCAACAGCACAUUUGAGGAAAGAAAUGAAAUUAGACAGCGAAGAAGGUAAUGUGAGUUAAUUUAUCGCAGUACCUUCUGCUUUUGAAAUUGCUCGCUGCAGUUAUUUUCAAUACUAUCUCUUGAGUUAUUACAAGCUGAAUAAUAUAAUUUAUGCACUAUUGAAUGCAAGAAUGGUUUCUCACGCAAUGAUUCUGUUUCUGUAACAGUUCCUCUUAUCAGCGUCAUUCGUUAUAUAAGGAGUUAUUAUGUGGUUCAAGUAACGUCAUAUGGCUCCAAAUAUUUGUUAAUUCGUAUUGUCACAAACAUGAUCAUCUUCACUUUAUCCUGUGUUCUACUUCUUCUGUUUGAGUAACAAUUUGGUUGCAAGUGUUCAUGUUCAGUCGGUUUCAAACUUGCCUCAACAUGUUGGAUGCAAACUUGCCUCUACAUGCUGGAUUCAAUUGAUGCCACAGAUUUAAGAGUUGGUGGAUCUAUGUUCUUAUUUGGAUGUAUUGAUGUGUAAAAUUUGGGUUUUGUUCAUAUGGUUAUUUAUUGACUAAGUAUGUCAAGUUGGCUGAUCAGGGAGCAGUAUGCUGCUUGGAAAACUGAAUGUAAAGAAAUGGCGCCAGUUAUUGGCAGUGGAAAGUUCAUAACUGCAGCCAUAAUUACUGAUGAUGGCCAGCCGAUAAUUGAAACUUCAGUUAAUGGCAAUCUACCAGAUGACUUUGGUGGCAAGCCGAGUGACAAUGGUUCAGCAGAUAAGAGAGUGAUUCAGUGGAAGCGGAGCUUGCAUCAAAUUGGUCUAGACGUUGUUCGCACGGAUCGUAUUCUGGUUUUUUAUGAAACCGAAAAGAACCAAGCCAAACUUUGGGAUAUCCUUGCUGUAUAUUCUUGGUUUGACGGAGAUAUUGGAUAUGUUCAAGGAAUGAAUGACAUAUGCUCUCCAAUGGUUAUUCUUCUAGAUGAUGAAGCAGAUGCAUUUUGGUGCUUUGAGCGUGCAAUGCGCAGAUUGGUAAGCUCUUUUUCCCUGAUACGUGCAAUUUUUCACUUGCUUAUUGUAAAAUAUGUAUUCAUAUUUGUUGUGUUAAUGUUCUUGUGCUCAUUCUAAUUCUUGUUGUUUCAAAUGCAUGGCUUCCAAUCUAUGCUUAAAUUCAUGCUGCAGUACUGUAGAUAAAUUGCGUAUAUUUUCAUCUCUGAGCACACUCAUUUAAUUUUCUCCCCUUUUCCUAUUCUCGUCUUCAUUCUUCUUUUUACUUUUUCUGGAAUGGAGGAGGCCAUGGAUCUACUCUUGUUGCUUUCCUUCUUGUGGUGCUAAAACUGCCUAAACAAGAAAAUAACCAGGGGGCAAUUUGAGUUUAAUUUGGCAGUUUUGGUCUGCUCAUGAUAUAUGUCAUAUGGAGAUUUGAGAAAGUGAAGAACGAUUUUCAAAUGGACUAUGUUUUCUAAUUUUGUACUGUCAUGAUUUGCCGAUUUUAGAUGUAAAGUUGAACUCAGUUGUUGCUGGCCAUAUAAGAAUAUUCAAUGCUGUCAGUCCAUUUUCUUUGCCAUACAUAUUGAAACCCUGGAAAUGGAGUUAAGUUAAUUGAACACUAUUAUUGUUGUAUGUCUGCAGGUGAUAACUCUUUGAUAUUAUUUAACUUGUUAUUUUUUACAUUGAAAAUUCAUGGCCAAACAAUGCAAUUUUUCUUGUAACUCUAUAAAUAUAAUAUUCUGUGCCAAAGAUUUGAUUGGUGCAUAUUUUCUUUAUAUGUAAUUUUCUCUGCUUUGAACGUUCAUGGGAUGUCAGGGACCUGACUGAUUUGGUUGUUUCAGUGUCCUUAUUAGGAUUUCUCUUUUUUGAGUUUUUAAACAUGUCAAAUCUUAAGUGAUAUGCGUGUAUUUCACCUAGCCCUGAUAUAAGGCAACUUCUUGUCUUGUAUGUUUUACAAUUUAACCUGUAUUCACUGCUUAUUUUCUGGAAUUCUAUUGUACAUCUCUGUGCUUUUGAAGAGGGAAAACUUUAGGUGCAGCACAACUUCUGUUGGUGUUCAAUCUCAGCUGAGUACUCUUGCACAGAUCAUUAAAACUAUUGAUCCAAAGCUACACCAACAUCUUGGUAUUGGCUGCUAACCCUGUUCUCUUCUAGAUAUUGUUGUAGGAUUCAGAGCCUUAGCUUUGUGGUUCUUGCAUCUACAUGCAGUGUGUAAGAGUUUUCUAUGCUAGGCAGAUCAUUGGCGAGGGAUCAGUGGACUUUAAAUGGAUAGUGGUUAUUUAAGUUCCAAGUGGACUAAAUAUUUAAAGACUCCAAUAUUUAAAUCCAUCAGAGCUUAGGGUACAAGAUUUACUUUCCGAAUAUGUUCUGGCCCAUAUGUUAACUUCAUUACUAAAAAGGAAAGCCUCAAUUAGGAUAAAUAAAAGAGAUUUCAGAUGUGUGUAAAACUUGUUAACAGUUAAAAAAUUCUACAGCAAACUGCAAUUAAGAUGUUUAUGCCAGAUCUUCAGUUUCUUUUCUUCUUUUCUAAAGGUUUAUACAUGCCAGAUCUUCAGUUACUGAAGUGGCAAGCCUUGAUUGUACCUGAGCAAUGGCAAUGCUACGAACUACUAGAACAGAGUUUUGGGAUAUUCCACAUAGUUAAUUAUCUGUCUCUAUCACUUACCCUCACCCCCAAGCUUGUACUUACUAUUUUAUUUAUUAAAAUUUUCUCCAGAAAAACUUGGAUGGUGGUAUUUUGUGUUUCUCUGUCGUCAAACUUUUCUGUCUGUCUCUCUCCUCCCAUCCCAAAGUAGUAAUUUCAAUUUAUUUAAUUUUUGACAGAGGAAUUGGAUGGUGGGGAGUAUUUGUUUGCGUUUCGUAUGCUGAUGGUACUUUUUAGGAGAGAGUUCUCAUUUGUUGAUUCGUUGUAUCUUUGGGAGGGAGAACGGAAUAGUCCUUGAGGUUUAUCUGGAAAACUGCUGGAUUGCCCACUGGCUGGGGACUUAUUGCUCGACGUACAAACAUUUUACUUACUAGGUUGAACUUAAAAUAGGUGAUGUGGGCCAUGGAAUACAAUCCAAACAUGUAUCUGUUGUACGAGGAGCCGAAUUCUAGUUGCCAGAAUGGCAGCCAAAAGAUCAACAAUAAACUGCUAAAGCUGUAUGGAAAGUUCGAGAGGAAAAAUGUUCAAACUGGAUGGACAGAACAGAAAACUGCUCUUGCUGUUUUUGUUGUUGCUAGUGUCCUUGAGACGAAGAAUAAGCGACUUCUAAAAGAGGCCAAGGGUCUAGAUGAUGUUGUUCAGAUUUUGGGUGAACUAACUGGGAAUAUGGAUGUAAAGAAGGCGGUAAAGGGGGCCUUGAAAAUUCAUAAGAAGUAUUUGAGUAAGGCCAAGAAAUCAUAGUUGCAUUCGGCUGCAGCGGGAAUGUUUCACGAGUGAGCUCCAUUCCAUAUUUCCAAUUUUUUUUCUAUUUUUCUGGUCUAUUUUUGGUCUGGGGGUUCUUCUAUACCCGAUUCUUUCGAGGCUGUCUUGCCUGUAUAACAACAUUGAGUGUAUAGUAUUCUGGCUUAAAUCCAAUGGUUUUUUUUUUUUUCCUUCUUCCGGCAGUCGGCUAUAUCCUACAACAAGCGUAACAGUGAGAUAUGCGAGUACUACUCGAUAGCAGCCGAUGGUUUAGGAGUAUUCUAAGAAUUGUGAUUCCUCAUUGCAUCCUUUUGUGAUCUAAGAUAUGUUGAACUUACAUGUAAUAAGCACAUGAAAUCGGAUUUUUGUGCGGAUUUAA